CCCUUGGAUGUCGUACCGCCACAUCUGCGAGAUGUACAAGAAGACUGAUGCAUACGUCGGGACAACGGAAGAGACUCUGACACGAGGGGCAUGGAGAAACCUGUUUUUUUUGUUGUUUUUUUGAGGUUGUUCAUCGUUAAAGUACCAGUCUAAGGAGCUUGGAAAGAUGAGCUUCUAGAACUUGUAUGUGAGGAGCAGGAGCUCCCUGAAGGAGAACCCGGCCACGUCGUCAUUUUUUUUGAGGUUGUCCG